CCUACGGGCGGCAGCAGUGAGGAAUAUUGGUCAAUGGGCGGAAGCCUGAACCAGCCAAGUAGCGUGCAGGAUGACGGCCCUACGUGUUGUAAACUGCUUUUAUACGGGAAUAACUCGCCUUACGUGUCGGUCUUUGCAUGUACCCUACGCAUAAUGCCCGGCUAAUUCCGUGCCAGACGCCGCGGUAAUACGGAGGCUCCGAGCGUUAUCCGGAUGUAUUGGGUUUAAAGGGAGCGUAGGUGGAUUGUUAAGUGAGUUGUGAAAGUUUGCGGCGCAACCGUGGAAUUGCAGUUGAAACUGGCAAUCUUGAGUGCAGUAGAGGUAGGCGGAAGUCGUGGUGUAGCGGUGAAAUGCUUAGAUAUCACGAAGAACUCCGAUUGCGAAGGCAGCUCACUGGACUGCAACUGACGCUGAUGCUCGAAAGUGUGGGUAUCAAACAGGAUUAGAUACCCGGGUAGUC
rnacentral:rRNA from 1 species